GACGAACGCUGGCGGCGUGCUUAACACAUGCAAGUCGAACGAAGAGCGAUGGAAGCUUGCUUCUAUCAAUCUUAGUGGCGAACGGGUGAGUAACGCGUAAUCAACCUGCCCUUCAGAGGGGGACAACAGUUGGAAACGACUGCUAAUACCGCAUACGAUCUAAUCUCGGCAUCGAGGAUAGAUGAAAGGUGGCCUCUACAUGUAAGCUAUCACUGAAGGAGGGGAUUGCGUCUGAUUAGCUAGUUGGAGGGGUAACGGCCCACCAAGGCGAUGAUCAGUAGCCGGUCUGAGAGGAUGAACGGCCACAUUGGGACUGAGACACGGCCCAGGCUCCUACGGGAGGCAGCAGUGGGGAAUCUUCCGCAAUGGACGAAAGUCUGACGGAGCAACGCCGCGUGAGCGAUGACGGCCUUCGGGUUGUAAAGCUCUGUUAAUCGGGACGAAAGGCCUUCUUGCGAAUAGUGAGAAGGAUUGACGGUACCGGAAUAGAAAGCCACGGCUAACUACGUG
rnacentral:rRNA from 1 species